GGCUCAGUAGCUUAGUUGGUAAAGCACUCGUACUAGAGUCGUGGGUUCGAAUCCCACUUGAGCAC
rnacentral:tRNA from 1 species